UUUGUUCAUUCAUGCAUUUGUUUAUUUGUUCUGACAUUUCUGCAUUGCUCAGCCGGGUUUUCGACGAGAACACAAAGCUAUUGAACAGGAAGCGGACGAGGGAGACUGCUGCCUUAAUUGUUUUCAUGACUGGCACGACAGGCGGUGCUCUCCUUGCCAUGCGUUAAUGAUCUAACGAGAAUCCCUACCUAUCGUUUAUCUGCCUAUCAAGCUAAAAGCUAGCUAUCUCCCUACCUAUCGUUUAGCUACCUAUGAAGGUAAUAGCUAUCUGUCUGCUGUCAUUUUGUAUUUAAGGGCACUCUAUAUCUGAGUAUUGUCUAUCUGUGGUGUCUGGGCAGAUGUGAAAUCUCUAUCUAAUUAUGUAUAAGACUUAAUGAGGUCUGUUAUUUGUAAUGGUCUUCAUGAUAUUUGUAAUGUAAGAUCUCUAUCUUGCAUGAUAUUUGUAAUGGUCUUGGUGAUCUGGUUCUGAAUGGGUAACUCCUAUCACACAUAAAACACAUUUUUGUCUGUUCCACCUUGUGAGGGUGGGAAAACUAAAAC
rnacentral:lncRNA from 1 species